rnacentral:rRNA from 1 species
UACGUAGGGGGCGAGCGUUACCCGGAUUUACUGGGCGUAAAGCGCGUGUAGGCGGCUGGCCAAGCGUGGUGUGAAAUCUUCGGGCUUAACCCGAAAACUGCAUUGCGAACUGGUCUGGCUAGAGUGUGUGAGAGGGUAGUGGAAUUCCCGGUGUAGCGGUGAAAUGCGUAGAUAUCGAGAGGAACACCAGUGGCGAAGGCGAGUCCCUGGACAACACCUGACACUGAGGCACGAAAGCUAGGGGAGCAAACAGG